rnacentral:rRNA from 1 species
CCUACGGGUGGCAGCAGUGGGGAAUAUUGGACAAUGGGGGCAACCCUGAUCCAGCCAUGCCGCGUGUGUGAAGAAGGCCCUCGGGUUGUAAAGCACUUUCAGUGAGGAAGAACGCCUGGUGGUUAAUACCCAUCAGGAAAGACAUCACUCACAGAAGAAGCACCGGCUAACUCCGUGCCAGCAGCCGCGGUAAUACGGAGGGUGCGAGCGUUAAUCGGAAUUACUGGGCGUAAAGCGCGCGUAGGUGGCUUGAUAAGCCGGUUGUGAAAGCCCAGGGCUCAACCUGGGAACGGCAUCCGGAACUGUCAAGCUAGAGUGCAGGAGAGGAAGGUAGAAUUCCCGGUGUAGCGGUGAAAUGCGUAGAGAUCGGGAGGAAUACCAGUGGCGAAGGCGGCCUUCUGGACUGACACUGACACUGAGGUGCGAAAGCGUGGGUAGCAAACAGGAUUAGAUACCCGGGUAGUC